UAAAUGUAUGAAAGAAGAGAAAGUUGAGGAGGAUGGCAGCGAUCCUGGUGGCCUUCAGCACACAUGUGGUUAAGGCAUCGCCACCUACUUCAUGGCAUUUCUAAGCUAGUUUUUUGU